GUGACAGUUACACAUUUUGAUUGACUUUUCCCUUUUACAGAUGCCACUGCAGAGCGAGACCAGCUACAGAAUAGUCUAAAUACCAGGACCACAGAGAGAGACCAGUUAAAAACCAGGCUUAGGUCCUAUGAGAAACCCUGUCUGAAGGAAUGGUGGAAGUUUGGCACCAGCUGUUAUUAUGUCUCCUCCACGAGGGACUCUGCCGGGGACGGUCAGCGGCAGUGCAGAGCAAUGGGUGCUGAAUUGGUUGUUAUAAACAGCAGAGAAGAACAGAUAUUUAUCAAUGGAUUUAAGAAGAAUGUCUGGAUUGGUGUAUAUAAAAAAGACGGAAUCUGGGAGUGGCUUGUCAACACAGCAUUUAAACCUACCUAUUGGAUGGAAGGGGAACCAAGUAGCUUGAAUGACGAGGUGGCUUGUAUUGAGAUCUCACAGACGGCAUCAGACCCAUUGAAGAGUUGGAAGGGUGUAAAAUGUACUUCAAAUUACUGGGUGUGUGAAAAACCGUUCACACCGUAGUCUAAUUAUAAUAACUAAUGUAAGCCCCUAUCUUAUGGAGUUGCACUGGUUUUCCCUUUGUUAGGCCUAACGUGUUUCUAUGUGUAUCUACAUUGAAAGAUGUAUUUGAUGUCUUUAAAGAGAGCAGGGCUAUGUGGAGUUUGUCCACCGUUCAUCAGGCCCAGGGGAGUGGAAUUGUGGUCUAGUAGGCUCUAACUGUGGUCUAGUAGGCUCUAACUGUGGUCUAGUAGGCUCUAACUGUGGUCUAGUAGGCUCUAACUGUGGUCUAGUAGGCUCUAACUGUGGUCUAGUAGGCUCUAACUGUGGUCUAGUAGGCUCUAACUGUGGUCUAGUAGGCUCUAACUGUGGUCUAGUAGGCUCUAACUGUGGUCUAGUAGGCUCUAACUGUGGUCUAGUACGCUCUAACUGUGGUCUAGUAGGCUCUAACUGUGGUUGACUUUUUUAAAAACUAUAUUUACAAUUUUUACCAUUUUAAUGUGUGCAUAUAACAAUUGAAUAAGAUUCUGUUUUCAUUUAAGUUUUUACAGUUAUCAAUCCAUUUCAAAUGCAGCAGUGUUCUGUUUCCUUCCAUUCCAUUCCAUAUGUACCAUGUAUUUCAUCAGUAGAAUGAACACAUCUAUAUACUGUGAUCCAGGUAUGUCAUUUACUUGUCAGGUAUACUGUAAUACUAAGUGUUGUAAUGUAUGAAUAGUAACUCCAAUGUUUUCCUUCUAAAUGGUGUCAGUUAUUAGUUGACGUAGCACAGUAAAAACACUUUAGUUAAUAGAUAGAAAACAGUCGUUAUCAGUAAAGUUAUAGCAGUACCAGAAUUGACCACUAGAAGGGUUGUGUCAUCCAUGGACAUGUGACCAGAGCCCGUAUUCACAAAGCAUCCCACAGUAAGAGUGCUGAUCUAGGAUCAGUUUUGUCUUUGACCUCUCUCUGGUAAUGUUAGUUGUUUUAUCUUUUUACUUAGCUUACCCAGUACAAAGGAACCGAUGGGAUAGUCCCAAAAGAGCAAACUCUGCCCAACUAGCAACACAAUACUCCUGUUGGAUGAAAUAUUCACAUUUAGAACUUCUGUGCAGUAUUCUGGAACUUGAACUUAAAACCUGAACAUGUGCAUCUUCUAAGGCUCCAACCUUAGCUAUACCCACUGGAUACCAUUAUGGACCUAUAGCGUUCACAUAAUAAUGGAGUCAGAUUGAUAAAUGUAGGUUAUUAUUAUAUUCAACAUAAUUUCUACACAUCUACACCUUAACAGGUGUCUUGAACAUACUGAAGUCUGAGAUUUCUGAGUUCCCAGGUGUUUUGAAUGCAGCAUUAGGGGAUCUGUUCUCCACCACCCACAGCCUUCCUGGGUACAUCAUUAGGGGAUCUGUUCAGAUAUGUUAUGAUAUGAUAUGAGAUCAGAUCAGAUAUGAUACUGUAUGAGAUCAGAUCACAUAUAAUUUAUUAGAUAUGAUAUGGUACUGUAGGAGAUCAGAUAUAUGGUAAUUUAUGAGAUCAGAUUUGAUAUGGUAAUUUCUGUUUGGUUAAAUUUGAAGACAUCUUCUGUAACACAAGUUAAAUAUCCAGUAACAAUUUCUAUGACGCAUACACAUAUAAUGCCCUGUAAAACAUUUAUAACGCCUUAAUAUUCACUAUAAGAUAUUAGAAUUGCUCAUAAGUAAAUGUGUAACAUACAACAAUAAAUGUAAAUAAAUAUGGUAACAGGGAUCCCUUUUAACAAACAUUAAACUUUUUGCCUCUGUCUCAAAAUCCGCAUCAGCCAAUUAAAAUCGUGAAUGUAGUUGUACACUGUCAAACACUACAUACAGUGCCUGCAGAAAGUAUUCACACCAAUUGAUGUUUCCACAUUUUGUUGUGUCACAGCCUAAAUUUAAAAUGGAUUA